GGGAUUGUGGCUCAGUGAUAGAGUGCUUGUCUAGAAUGCAUGAGUCAUUGGAUUCAGUCCCA
rnacentral:tRNA from 1 species